UACGUAGGUGGCAAGCGUUGUCCGGAUUUUACUGGGCGUAAAAGGGCGCGUAGGCGGGAUGGCAAGUCGGUCGGUGAAAUCCCUCGGCUCAACCGAGGAACGCGAUCGAUACUGCUGUUCUUUGAGGAUUGCAGGGGGAGACUGGAAUUCCCGGUGUAGCGGUGAAAUGUGUAGAGAUCGGGGAGGAACACCGGUGGCGAAGGCGGGUCUCUGGGCA
rnacentral:rRNA from 1 species